UACGUAGGGGGCGAGCGUUAUCCAGAAUUACUGGGUGUAAAGGGAGCGUAGACGGCGAAGUAAGCCUGAAGUGGAGGCCCGCGGCCCAACCGCGGAACUGCUUUGGGAACUGCUUAGCUGGAGUACGGGAGGGGUAAGCGGAAUUCCUGGUGUAGCGGUGAAAUGCGUAGAUAUCAGGAGGAACACCGGUGGCGAAGGCGGCUUACUGGACCAUGACUGACGUUGAGGCUCGAAAGCGUGGGGAGCGAACAGG
rnacentral:rRNA from 1 species